rnacentral:rRNA from 1 species
UACGUAAGGGGCAAGCGUUAUCCGGAUUUACUGGGUGUAAAGGGAGCGUAGACGGCGGUGCAAGCCAGAUGUGAAAGCCCGGGGCUCAACCCCGGGACUGCAUUUGGAACUGUGCUGCUAGAGUGUCGGAGAGGCAGGCGGAAUUCCUAGUGUAGCGGUGAAAUGCGUAGAUAUUAGGAGGAACACCAGUGGCGAAGGCGGCCUGCUGGACGAUGACUGACGUUGAGGCUCGAAAGCGUGGGGAGCAAACAGG